AUGAGUUGCCGGACGCGAGAGUUUCAUGUCCUCUUCUUCUCGUGUCUUUAAUGAAUGACGAUAAAAAGACGGCUGCUUUUCUCGACCUGCGAAAGGAAUGGACACGACGCUUGUGGAUUUCUCGGACAUGAGGUGGCAGCGAGGAGACUUGAGCUUCAUCUUCAACGGACAUCUCAGACCCAACGUCUCCUUGGUCGUCCUCGACAACGAACGUAAGGUGUUCCAAAGAAUACGAUGUGAGGAGAGAACACCUGUCUGCUGAAGACCUGAAGAAGAACAAAGAGCUGCUGGACAGUCUCAGUCGAGGAUUCUUUGUGGAAAACAGCUGCGAUCAGCCCUGUGUGAGGAGGGAGUCCAUCCAGCCCCCACCCCCCUCUCCUGUUAGCUGGGAGGAGUACGUCACCGCAC